CUACAACCCUUCUACUUUCCAUUCCUUAAUUGAUGGAUGAUCAGGCUGAUUCAGUUUCAUACCUAUCCUGGCAAGAUAAGGUUUUAUAAAUGGGGGAGCCUAGCCUCCAGGAAUGAGCCAAUAUGAAUGGCGUAAAGAAAGUUCUUCUUUGGCAAUUGAAGCCAUAUUGUGAGUUUAUAAAGUAAAUCAACAGACAAAGCC